AGACAAAAACAGAGCUGACACAACACCAACAGAACUUUGGAUAAACAAGGCAUGAAAAGAAAUUUAUACAGAGAGAGCUUGCUAGUACUGGCUGAUUUUAGUAUUUGCAGUUAUAUUGAACCAGACUAAGAUUGUACAUGAUGUACAUGUAGUACCACAAGGGUUCCAAAGUUAUGUUUAUACAGGACAUUUGUACCUCAUACAAGUAUGUUGAGAGAAGUUCAGAACAAGCUAUUAUGUUUGAAGAGGAGUUGUCAGCACGUCAUCAUUGAAUAAAGUCAGUUGUAUUAGAAGUGAAGCCUAAACAGAAAUGAGACAAUUAUCAAAUAAUUCAAAGACUACAUGGAUGUUAUCUGGACUAACAUUUGUAUGACCCAAAUGUGGUAUUUUUCAUAUGAAGACUUACAAGGCAGGCUGUGGCAACAUGUGUAUGCAUUUAACAUGUUUAAAGACUUGAAGAACUUGUACUGCCUUCUUCAGAUUUCAGUAGAAUUUGUUUAAGACAGUAAAUUCUGAGUAUGAAUUGAAGAAUUUUUGCUCAUUUAAAUGAAUUAUGAAAAUGUUUUACAUCUUAAAUAUACAAAAACA